CAAGGAAAGUUGAAAAAGUGUCUUUCAAAACACAACUUGUUUGAACGUCUUAGUGUUCAUUCAGUUCAGUUAAAGAAAAAAUCUGUUUCUGAGAGUCACAUGAGUAACAAUGUGAGAAAAAAAACUGUAUUUGAUCAAAAUAGUUUUCAUUUUUACCWCCAUCAUUAAGCUAACAUGUUUCCUUUGCUGAGGUUGUGUUCUGUUCUGUGUUCAGCGAGGCGUAAAGAAGUUGACCUUACCGACCACCCAUGAGUGAUGAUGAUGAGGGGAUUACUGCUGUUGAAGCCGCAGGAGGACGGCCCUCUCUGCCGGCUCCCACACAUCUCAGAAAUCAAACAGCAGCAGGGUUAUCUGUUUGCUCUUCUUGAGUUUUCUCCUCACAAACUGGUAACUGGAAAUGUUUACUUUGGGGUGAAUAAUUACAAGUUUCCUCUCUGGAUCAGUGGAAGCCUUAAUGCAAAAACAUGAAAGGCUGAUGGUAAACAGAGUCUUUUUCUGCUCCUUUUCAUA